rnacentral:rRNA from 1 species
CAGCAGCCACGGUAAUACGAAGGGGGCUAGCGUUGUUCGGAUUUACUGGGCGUAAAGCGCACGUAGGCGGAUUCUUAAGUCAGAGGUGAAAUCCCAAGGCUCAACCUUGGAACUGCCUUUGAUACUGGGGAUCUUGAGUCCGGGAGAGGUGAGUGGAACUGCGAGUGUAGAGGUGAAAUUCGUAGAUAUUCGCAAGAACACCAGUGGCGAAGGCGGCUCACUGGCCCGGUACUGACGCUGAGGUGCGAAAGCGUGGGGAGCAAACAGGAUUAGAUACCCCGGUAGUCCCUGUCUCUUAUAA